GUACACGCUGUGACUAGCAUAUCAAUAAGCGGAGGAAAAGAAACUAACAAGGAUUCCCCUAGUAACGGCGAGUGAAGCGGGAAGAGCUCAAAUUUGAAAUCUUAAAGGGUUUCCCUUUACGAAUUGUAGUUUAAAGGAAGUGUUUUCUGUUGAGGUUUUGGUAAAAGUUCUUUGGAAUAGGACAUCAUAGAGGGUGAGAAUCCCGUAUUUGACCCUUUACUUUCAACUUUGUGAUACACUUUCAAAGAGUCGGAUUGUUUGGGAAUGCAGUCCAAAAUGGGUGGUAAAUUUCAUCUAAAGCUAAAUAUUGGCGAGAGACCGAUAGCGAACAAGUACCGUGAGGGAAAGAUGAAAAGAACUUUGAAAAGAGAGUUAAACAGUACGUGAAAUUGUCAAAAGGGAAGCGUUUGACACCAGUGUUGUUUUUCUGAAAAUCAAUUAAAGAACUGUUUAUGCUAAGCUGUUUAGACUUUAUCAGCUAAUCUGUUUAGUUUUGAGCUUUUCUUUAAUGCACUUUUCAGUUAACAAGUCAACAUCAAUUUCUUUUGCUGUAAAAAAGCUUGAGGAAGGUGGCUUGAGAUUCGUCUUAAGUGUUUAUAGCCUCUUGCCUAUGCAGUCGGAGAGAUUGAGGUCUGCAGCGUAGAUCCUUCGGGGCUAAAUGCAUUUGUGCUAAGUUAUAGCAUUUUAUAGACAACUUGUUGACUAUGAUUUGUCUUGUAGCUUACUCGCUUAUGUUAUUUUACCUACGCUUAGGAUGUUGAUAUGCAUGACUGAUAU
rnacentral:rRNA from 1 species